UACGAAGGGGGCUAGCGUUGUUCGGAAUUACUGGGCGUAAAGCGUAUGCAGGCGGACUUUUAAGUCGGGGGUGAAAUCCCGAGGCUCAACCUCGGAACUGCCAUUGAAACUGUUAGACUUGAGUACGAGAGAGGUGAGUGGAAUUCCCAGUGUAGAGGUGAAAUUCGUAGAUAUUGGGAAGAACACCGGUGGCGAAGGCGGCUCACUGGCUCGUAACUGACGCUCAGGCGCGACAGCGUGGGGAUCAAACAGG
rnacentral:rRNA from 1 species